rnacentral:rRNA from 1 species
AUUGAACGCUGGCGGCAGGCCUAACACAUGCAAGUCGAACGAGUGGCGGACGGGUGAGUAAUGUCUGGGAAACUGCCCGCUGGAGGGGGAUAACUACUGGAAACGGUAGCUAAUACCGCAUACCAUCGGAUGUUCCAAGAUGGGAUGAGCUAGUAGGUGGGGUAACGGCUCACCUAGGCGACGAUCCCUAGCUGGUCUGAGAGGAUGACGAGCCACACUGGAGAUGUGACACGGUCCAGACUCCGACGGGAGGCACCAGUGGGAAAGAUUGCAGAAUGGGCGGAAGCCUGAUGCAGCCAUGCCGCGUGUAUGUAGAAGGCCUUCGGGUUGUAAAGUACUUUCAGCGAGGAGGCGUUACUCGCAGAAGAAGCACCGGCUAACUCCGUGCCAGCAGCCGCGGUAAUUC